UUUUUACAUAAACGAAUAGCUUUAUGGCUUGAGAUGAUAGUGAUUGAUUUUAAUGGUUUGGUUGCUUAAAUUUGCAUAAUAGGUUGGUUAGGAAUAUGAAAGCUAACAACCUUACGAAAACAAUCAAUUUUUGCAUGAUGAGUAGUUAACCAAUCAAUCCCUAGAAUCACAUCAAAUGCAAGUAUUUUCAAUGAAAUAAG
rnacentral:lncRNA from 1 species